CCCUUAGAUGUUCUGGGCUGCACGCGCGCUACACUGAAGCUAUCAACACGUUUUCCCUCCCUGAGAAGGGCGGGUAACCUUUUGAAUCAGCUUCGUGGUAGGGAUCGGGGCUUGCAAUUGUUCCCCGUGAACCAGGAAUUCCUAGUAGAUGCGAGUCAUAAGCUCGCAUCGAUUAAGUCCCUGCCCUUUGUACACACCGCCCGUCGCUACUACCGAUUGAACGUUUUAGUGAGGCAUUUGGACCGACGCAUCUCAGUUUAACCGCUGGUUUGUGUUGGAAAGACUUCCAAACUUGAGCGUUUAGAGGAAGUAAAAGUCGUAACA
rnacentral:rRNA from 1 species